GAUGAAGAACGCAGCGAAAUGCGAUAAGUAAUGUGAAUUGCAGAAUUCAGUGAAUCAUCGAGUCUUUGAACGCACAUUGCGCCCCCUGGUAUUCCGGGGGGCAUGCCUGUCCGAGCGUCAUUGCUGCCCUCAAGCACGGCUUGUGUGUUGGGCCCCCGUCCCCGGUUUCCCCCGGGGACGGGCCCGAAAGGCAGCGGCGGCACCGCGUCCGGUCCUCGAGCGUAUGGGGCUUUGUCACCCGCUCUGUAGGCCCGGCCGGCGCCAGCCGACACCCAACUUUAUUUCUAAGGUUGACCUCGGAUCAGGUAGGGAUACCCGCUGAACUUAAGCAUAUCAAAGCGGAGGA
rnacentral:misc_RNA from 1 species